GUGCCAGCAGCCGCGGUAAUACGGAGGGUGCAAGCGUUAAUCGGAAUUACUGGGCGUAAAGCGCGCGUAGGCGGUUUGUUAAGCGAGGUGUGAAAUCCCCGGGCUCAACCUGGGAACUGCAUUUCGAACUGGCAGGCUAGAGUGUAGAAGAGGGGUGUGGAAUUUCCGGUGUAGCGGUGAAAUGCGUAGAGAUCGGAAGGAACACCAGUGGCGAAGGCGACACCCUGGUCUAACACUGACGCUGAGGUGCGAAAGCGUGGGUAGCAAACAGGAUUAGAUACCCUGGUAGUCCACGCCGUAAACGAUGUCUACUAGCCGUCGGGAGGCUUGACCUUUUGGUGGCGCAGCUAACGCAGUAAGUAGACCGCCUGGGGAGUACGGCCGCAAGGUUAAAACUCAAAUGAAUUGACGGGGGCCCGCACAAGCGGUGGAGCAUGUGGUUUAAUUCGACGCAACGCGAAGAACCUUACCUGGCCUUGACAUGCAGAGAACUUUCCAGAGAUGGAUUGGUGCCUUCGGGAACUCUGACACAGGUGCUGCAUGGCCGUCGUCAGCUCGUGUCGUGAGAUGUUGGGUUAAGUCCCGUAACG
rnacentral:rRNA from 1 species